CGAAUCUCGGCUCUUACGAUUAUUUUUUUUAAAAAAUAUUUAUGCAGUAAACUGUUGUACAAACCUGCAUUUAAUGUAGUUUUUUUUUUUUUUAAUCUUUUUAUUGUUUAGUCCCCCUCCCAUUUUACUUUUUCAUUAAAUCCCUCCCCCCAAAAGCCCCAAAUUCCAAAAGAUUUUUUCCCACUUCCCACUCAUCUUUUCCCAACGUAAUAAGAAGAAACUCCUUUGGCUCUCUUCAUUCUCAAACCCUUCUUCCAUUCUUCCAUUAUCAAGUUUCUCACAAAUCACUAAGUUAGGAACGUCACCCAGUCGAAUCUAUUGUCGAUAUUCAUUAAUUUCUCCGACAAUCGAAUUCGAGCCGACGAUCGGACUUCUCUUACGGCCAAAUAUUUAUCAUCUCUACGGGAUUAAAUCUCGAGUGGUUGCGAAGUAAAAUUGAUGAGAUUAUGAAAGUUCCAGGUAGGAUCGACCUUUACUCCUCGUCGCUGACAGUGAUCGAGGAUUGCCAUUUCGAGCCUUACAAGGUGAGCACGAGAACGUUCGCCGCCUUGAAGAUUCUCAUUUAUUUAUGUCUUACUUAAUAUUCUGAGACAUAUUGAGACUAUUGAGACUAUUGAUGUAUUAUUAUUACUUCCAGACUUGUAGAUUCUAGUUAGAUGCUCUUGUAUGACCAGACCAGAUACUGGGAUGGUUUUGAUGUAUUUCCGCUUUGUUUAUCUACUUAUAUGUCAGA